GGGGGUCGGUAGCGCAACGGUCAGUGCGUCGCUAGGUACCCGACGGUUUCCUUAACCGAAGGCGAUAGGUUCGAACCCUAUGACUCCUA